CGACGCCACUACGAGAAAGGAGCCGGUGGCCGCUUGGUUCCUGCGCAGAUGUUGGGGCUAUAGGCGCCGCGCGGUCGGCUGGUUGUGGCUCGCAGGGAGGACACCCGGGCUCGCCUUCCCCACGCUGCCUCCGCCUCUGCCAUGAUUCCGGUGUCGCUGGUGGUGGUGGUGGUGGGCGGCUGGACUGCCGUCUACCUGACCGACUUGGUGCUAAAGUCAUCUGUGUACUUUAAGCAUUCUUAUGAAGACUGGCUGGAAAACAACGGAUUGAGCAUCUCCCCUUUUCACAUAAGAUGGCAGACUGCUAUUUUCAAUCGUGCCUUUUACAGUUGGGGACGGCGGAAAGCGAGGAUGCUUUACCAGUGGUUCAAUUUUGGAAUGGUGUUUGGCGUAAUUGCCAUGUUCAGCUCUUUUUUUCUACUGGGGAAAACGCUGAUGCAGACUUUAGCACAAAUGAUGGCUGACUCUCCCUCUUCCUCUUCCUCUUCCUCUUCUUCCUCUUCCUCCUCUUCUUCCUCCUCUUCAUCCUCUUCCUCUUCCUCCUCCUCUUCCUCACUUCACAACGAACAGGUGCUGCAAGUCGUGGUUCCUGGUAUAAAUUUACCCGUCAACCAACUGACCUACUUCUUUGCUGCAGUCCUCAUUAGUGGUGUCGUACAUGAAAUUGGACAUGGAAUAGCAGCUAUCAGGGAACAAGUUCGAUUUAAUGGCUUUGGGAUUUUUCUCUUCAUUAUUUAUCCUGGAGCAUUUGUUGAUCUGUUCACCACUCAUUUGCAACUUAUAUCACCAGUCCAGCAGCUAAGGAUAUUUUGUGCAGGUAUCUGGCAUAAUUUCGUCCUUGCACUCCUGGGUAUUUUAGCUCUUGUUCUCCUCCCUGUAAUCCUCUUGCCGUUUUACUACACUGGAGUCGGGGUGCUUAUCACUGAAGUUGCUGAGGACUCACCUGCCAUUGGACCCCGAGGCCUUUUUGUGGGAGACCUUGUCACCCAUCUACAGGAUUGUCCUGUUACUAAUGUACAAGAUUGGAAUGAAUGUCUAGAUACCAUCGCCUAUGAGCCCCAAAUUGGUUACUGUAUAAGUGCAUCAACUUUACAGCAGUUAAGCUUCCCAGUUAGAGCAUACAAACGGCUAGAUGGUUCGACUGAAUGCUGUAACAAUCACAGCCUUACAGAUGUGUGCUUUUCCUAUAGAAAUAAUUUUAAUAAGCGUUUGCAUACCUGUCUACCUGCCCGGAAAGCAAUUGAAGCCACCCAAGUUUGUAGAACCAAUAAAGACUGUAAAAAAACCUCAAGUUCAAGUUUCUGUAUAAUACCUUCUUUGGAAACUCAUACUCGCUUAAUAAAAGUGAAACACCCACCUCAGAUUGAUAUGUUGUAUGUAGGACAUCCACUGCACCUUCACUAUACAGUGAGCAUCACCAGUUUUAUCCCACGUUUCAACUUUCUAAGCAUAGAUCUGCCUGUGGUUGUGGAGACAUUUGUCAAGUACCUGAUUUCCCUCUCAGGAGCUCUGGCUAUUGUUAAUGCAGUGCCCUGCUUUGCUUUGGAUGGACAGUGGAUUUUAAACUCUUUCCUAGAUGCUACUCUUACCUCAGUGAUUGGAGACAGCGAUGUCAAAGACCUGAUAGGAUUUUUCAUCUUGCUUGGUGGCAGUGUGCUUUUGGCUGCCAAUGUGACCCUGGGACUCUGGAUGGUUACAGCACGGUAAUAUUUGCAUUCAUCUGAUAGAAUCUCUGAGUUACAGUAUACAAUAUUGAAAACCUUACUUGUUAUGACAUAUAAAGUAUUUCCUUAAAAUUACAUUUUAGCCAAAAACUUUGCUCUUCCUAUAUCCAGAGUUUCUGAACUCUGGGAUGGGGGAUAAACAGAAGAAAUGAAAGGCAUAGUCCCUGAUUACAUUCUAGUUUUGAAGACUGAACCUACAAACUUCAGAUGCUUGUGGAACAAUUUCUUAGCAAGUACAAAUUUAUAUUAAACCAUUUUUGUGUGACUCCAUAUCACAUGGAUAUAAUGUAAAGGAAAACAGAUUGGGUGGGAUUAAUUGGGAAAACCUUGAAAAAGCAUCGUCAAUCCAGAUUUGAAGGAGACCAGACUUUGGCCAAGUGGAAAGAGCAAUCAGAAGAAUGAAUUAUUUUGAGGAUCUGAAGAAAGUGUUCUGUGUUGUCACAUUGUUCAGCAGUGAAACUUUUAUUUUCAGUGUUCCUAUUCUGCGUUGUUUACAUUUUUGAGUGUUUUUUAAAGUCAUCUAUAAUCUGUAAAGAAUGUAUAUAUUUUCAGCAUCUCAGUUUGAAAAGACAUGCAGUUAAACUUGACCUUUUGAUAUUCGUUCUUAAGGUCAUUAUCUGUCUAAAAGUAAAUUGUAAACAUGUGGUUCAUGGAUAUGUGGCUCUCAGUCAUCAGUUUGUCCAGUAGUAUUUAUUGAAUGUCCACAUCAUAAUGGUGCAUAGGUAUUUUUUCUAUAGAUCCUUCAACUGAGCUGUAAUUCAUUCUUAGGCUCUAACUUGAAGAUAACAGUUGCUGGCAUUUGAUGUUUAGCAAUAAAAGAAUGUGUACCAGCA